rnacentral:lncRNA from 1 species
GUGACAGUGGAGCUGUAGCGGGUGAUAGUGGAGCUGUAGCAGGUGAUAGUGGAGCUGUAGCAGGUGAUAGUGGAGCUGUAGCAGGUGAUAGUGGAGCUGUAGCGGGUGAUAGUGGAGCUGUAGCGGGUGAUAGUGGAGCUGUAGCGGGUGAUAGUGGAGCUGUAGCAGGUGAUAGUGGAGCUGUAGCGGUGAUAGUGGAGCUGUAGCGGGUGAUAGUGGAGCUGUAGCGGGUGAUAGUGGAGCUGUAGCGGGUGAUAGUGGAGCUGUAGCGAGUGAUAGUGGAGCUGUAGCAGGUGAUAGUGGAGCUGUAGGAGGUGGUAGUGGAGCUGUAGCGGGUGAUAGUGGAGCUGUAGAAGGUGAUAGUGGAGCUGUAGCAGGUGGUAGUGGAGCUGUAGCAGGUGAUAGUGGAGCUGUAGCAGGUGAUAGAUAGUGGAGCUGUAGAAGGUGAUAGUGGAGCUGUAGCAGGUGGUAGUGGAGCUGUAGCAGGUG